UCUUACGGGAGGCAGCAGUGGGGAUCCUACGGGAGGCAGCAGGCGCGCAAAUUACCCAAUCCCGACACGGGGAGGUAGUGACAAUAAAUAACGAUACAGGGCCCUUUCGGGUCUUGUAAUGGAAUGAGUACAAUGUAAAUACCUAACGAGAACAAU
rnacentral:rRNA from 1 species